UUCCCCCCUCAGACACGAAAAGCAUCCGUGGAGCUCAAGUUUGAGGUGAAACCAGGCUCAGAGUCCACCUGUCCUUGCUGAUCCAUGGAUUUCUGUGUGACCAGGUUACACCUAUGGAGCCGUGGCCCCGACUACCAACAGCUUGCUCAUCCCUCUACUCACACAGUCACCCGUCCCCUCACUCUCAUUUAUGCUUCACCUGUGAAUGGUGGUCCUGAGACAGCCAGUGCUGGAGCCCGUGUGAGCCUCGGGGCUCCUCCCACUC